GGAUGUGUCGGUGCCGAAGCAGAGGGAGCUCGUCACCGAGCAAGCUCUGUAUGACGCCGGCCUAAGUUCGGUUCCUCGUUUAGGUACAUCUCGGUCUGUCGGUCGUUCUUUGUCUUUUUUAUCCGUCUUCGGACUUGCGCUGAUCCUUCGUUGAAAUUGCAGGGAUGCCGCCGAGAGUGAGGCUGACCGACGCCGACAUUCGGCAACAUGCGGCGAGAAAGAGGCCGGCGCACGGGGCCGAACCACCGCGGCCUCCCAAAAGGCCUUAGAUAGCAUCGCCGAUCGACCUUGCGGUGACAGGAGCGCAGCCCAAUGUCGAACGUGCGUCAGGCUACGAGCCUGUCAUUGCUCUGUCGGCGCCGGCGGUGCCACCUGAGGUGCCAUCCGAGGAAGGGGCGACCGAGGGGGCAACCGAAGGAGCGUCGGCUCCCCCACCAACAGAAGAGGUUCGGGCCGAAGUACGUGAGCCCGAACGACCUGCAGCGGCCGCCAUCGUGGCUUCGGAAGGGACCCAGUCGAGUUCGAGCUUCCCGUCCCUCUUCGAUUUUCGGGCCUGGGCGGCCGGACAAGGGAAGGCUCCGAUGGCGUCGGGCGAUGACACAAGGUCGGUCGGCCGAGCCGCGUCAUCCAGCUUCCCGAAGGAGCGUCGGCCCUGGCCAAUCAUGAUUUGGCCAGGAGGUUGUGCCAAGCAACCAUUCUUCCGACUGACCGGGAGAUCAUGAAGAGUCGGCCAGUGUCCGACAUGCUUUCUUCCUUUUACCCGACUAUGAUCCAGCUGAUCUAUAAUAUAUCGGAGCUGGAGGCCGGGUACCGAAGGUUCGGCGACGUCCGGGUGGCCUGGAAGAAGAAGGCAGAGAUCGCCGAGGCUGAGAAGGCGACACUGGUCGACCAGCUGAAGUCGUCGGUCGACCAUGAGGCUAGGCUCGAGGAGGAGAUUUCUUGACUCGCCAACGGCCUAGCCGCCUCAGAGGCCGAACUUCAGUCGGCCCGCGAGCAGGUUCGGCGCAAGACCCGCUCCGUUCACCGACUAAGGCGCGAGAGGGACGGCUGCGUUAGGGAACUCGAGGCCGAGCGCGAACAGCUUCGCGUUAGUCUGGAGAACCUGGCCAAGGUUGAGAAUCUGUCCUCCGCCCAGGCCGACGCCGACAUAUUGAAGGCGGAGGCGGAGUCGGCUAGGGAGGCACUGGGUCGGGCGGCGGAGGACUUCUGUGGUUCGGAGGAGUACCGAGAGGAUCUCCUUGAGAGCGGCUUCGCCUCCUACCGGAUGGGGUACGAGGAUGCCCGAGAAGCGAUCCAGAGUCUGCACCCGGAGCUCGACCUGAGCGGGAUCGUCCCUCCAGGGUCGGAGGAUCAGGCUGCAGAGGAAGAGGCCGACCCAUUGCCGACGGAACGAGUCGCUGAGGACGAGGCGGCUCCAACCCCCGGUCCUUCACCGACCCGAGCGGGCACGCUGGUGGCUCUAGAGCUCUACUCGGUGGAAGAAGCCGACUCCGACGAAUAGUCGGAGUGUCCGCUCCAUUAUCUUUGUAUUUUUUUGCUUUUCAUUUAGUCUUUGAUAUCUGUAAUCGGGCUUCGUCCUAAUUUUGUAAUCGGGCUUCGUCCCAAUUUUGACUUAGUAAAAUCAAAGACUUCUCACUUUUUCCCG